rnacentral:misc_RNA from 1 species
GAUGAAGAACGUAGCGAAAUGCGAUAAGUAAUGUGAAUUGCAGAAUUCAGUGAAUCAUCGAAUCUUUGAACGCACAUUGCGCCCCCUGGUAUUCCGGGGGGCAUGCCUGUCCGAGCGUCAUUACAACCCUCAAGCUCAGCUUGGUGUUGGGCCCCGCCGCCCCGGCGGGCCCUAAAGUCAGUGGCGGUGCCGUCCGGCUCCGAGCGUAGUAAUUCUUCUCGCUCUGGAGGUCCGGUCGUGUGCUCGCCAGCACCCCCCAAUUUUUUUCAGGUUGACCUCGGAUCAGGUAGGGAUACCCGCUGAACUUAAGCAUAUCAAUAAGCGGAGGA